CUAAAUAACAAGACUGGAGGUGCGAAAGCGAAAAAACCGGUGCAGAAAAGAAAGUCCGAUGCUGCUAAUAGGUCCGAUUCAGAACGAGAGUGGGAAGAAAUUGACGCGGGGACCAAGAAGGUGAAGAAGCCUCGCCAGGCGAAAUCUCCUAGGACUACUAGUGGAGCGUCUAAGAAAAAGACUGCCAGCAACCCCUUCGACGU